GAAUAUAGCUCAGUUGGUACAGUGCUUGCCUCGGAUGUACAAUGCCCUGGGUUCAAUUCCCAGCAACA
rnacentral:tRNA from 1 species